rnacentral:rRNA from 1 species
AUUGAACGCUGGCGGCAGGCCUAACACAUGCAAGUCGAACGAGUGGCGGACGGGUGAGUAAUGUCUGGGAAACUGCCUGAUGGAGGGGGAUAACUACUGGAAACGGUAGCUAAUACCGCAUACCAUCGGAUGUGCCCAGAUGGGAUUAGCUAGUAGGUGGGGUAAAGGCUAACCUAGGCGACGAUCCCUAGCUGGUCUGAGAGGAUGACCAGCAACAAUGGAAAUGAGACACGGUCCAGAGUACUACGGGAGGGAGAAGUGGGGAAUAUGGCACAAUGGGCGCAAGACUGAGGCAGCCAUGACGCGUGUAUGAAGAAGGCCUUAGGGUUGUAAAGUACUUUCAGCGGGGAGGCGUUACCCGCAGAAGAAGCACCGGCUAACUCCGUGCCAGCCGCCGCGGUAAUAC